GAUUGAACGCUGGCGGCAGGCCUAACACAUGCAAGUCGAGCGGAAACGAUCCUAGCUUGCUAGGAGGCGUCGAGCGGCGGACGGGUGAGUAAUGCAUAGGAAUCUGCCCGGUAGUGGGGGAUAACUUGAGGAAACUCAAGCUAAUACCGCAUACGCCCCAAGGGGGAAAGCAGGGGAUCUUCGGACCUUGCGCUAUCGGAUGAGYCUAUGUCGGAUUAGCUAGUUGGUGAGGUAAUGGCUCACCAAGGCCGCGAUCCGUAGCUGGUCUGAGAGGAUGAUCAGCCACAUCGGGACUGAGACACGGCCCGAACUCCUACGGGAGGCAGCAGUGGGGAAUAUUGGACAAUGGGCGAAAGCCUGAUCCAGCCAUGCCGCGUGUGUGAAGAAGGCCUUCGGGUUGUAAAGCACUUUCAGCGAGGAAGAACGCUUGUGGGUUAAUACCCCGCAAGAAGGACAUCACUCGCAGAAGAAGCACCGGCUAACUCCGU
rnacentral:rRNA from 1 species